rnacentral:rRNA from 1 species
GUAGGUGGCAAGCGUUGUCCGGGAAUUAUUGGGCGUAAAGCGCGCGCAGGGCGGUCCUUUAAGUCUGAUGUGAAAGCCCACGGCUCAACCGUGGAGGGUCAUUGGAAACUGGGGGACUUGAGUACAGAAGAGGAAAGCGGAAUUCCAAGAGUAGCGGUGAAAUGCGUAGAGAUUUGGAGGAACACCAGUGGCGAAGGCGGCUUUCUGGUCUGUAACUGACGCUGAGGCGCGAAAGCGUGGGGAGCAAACAGGAUUAGAUACCCUGGUAGUCCACGCCGUAAACGAUGAGUGCUAAGUGUUAGGGGGUUUCCGCCCCUUAGUGCUGCAGCUAACGCAUUAAGCACUCCGCCUGGGGAGUACGGCCGCAAGGCUG